CAUCAUUGUACACUAGGUUGACAAAGGCAUGUCUAAGCUUGGUAAGGCAUCAUUGUACACUAGGUUGACAAAGGCAUGUCUAAGCUUGGUAAGGCAUCAUUGUACACUAGGUUGACAAAGGCAUGUCUAAGCUUGGUAAGGCAUCAUUGUACACUAGGUUGACAAAGGCAUGUCUGUUGAAUAAGAAAAGGUAUG